rnacentral:rRNA from 1 species
CCUACGGGAGGCAGCAGUGGGGAAUAUUGGACAAUGGGCGAAAGCCUGAUCCAGCCAUGCCGCGUGUGUGAAGAAGGUCUUCGGAUUGUAAAGCACUUUAAGUUGGGAGGAAGGGUUGUAGAUUAAUACUCUGCAAUUUUGACGUUACCGACAGAAUAAGCACCGGCUAGCUCUGUGCCAGCAGCCGCGGUAAUACAGAGGGUGCAAGCGUUAAUCGGAAUUACUGGGCGUAAAGCGCGCGUAGGUGGUUUGUUAAGUUGGAUGUGAAAUCCCCGGGCUCAACCUGGGAACUGCAUUCAAAACUGACUGACUAGAGUAUGGUAGAGGGUGGUGGAAUUUCCUGUGUAGCGGUGAAAUGCGUAGAUAUAGGAAGGAACACCAGUGGCGAAGGCGACCACCUGGACUAAUACUGACACUGAGGUGCGAAAGCGUGGGGAGCAAACAGGAUUAGAUACCCUGGUAGUCCACGCCGUAAACGAUGUCAACUAGCCGUUGGAAGCCUUGAGCUUUUAGGNGCGCNGCUACGACAUAAGUUAGACCGCCGUGGGAGGUACGGCCGCGAAGUAAACGUACGAAGAGAGUUAGACGGCGUGAGACGUAGACCGACGACGACGACGAGGGGAGGAGG